UAAACUUUGUAGUUUUAUAUCCCCGAGCUCAUAAUUCGACACCAAAACUUCCUCAUUUUUAUCAAUUAAUCUUUUUUUUUUUUUAGUUAUAUUAUCCUUUUAUUAGUGCAAAAGAAAAAAAAUACUAUAUUAUAGAUUUUCGGAUAUAGUAUAUAGUCAGUUAUUGUAAAUAACCAGUUAUAAGGAUAAUCCUAUAUUGAAGAUUACGUUAAAGUAUUGCCGAUGCUCAAAUAUUGUUGACACUCAGAUAUUACUGAUACUAGGAUUAUUUAGAUACAAAUAUCGAAGAUACCAUGAUAUGUUAAAUACCCAAUUAUUAUAGAUACUUGGAUAUUGUUGAUACUUGGAUUAUUUAGAUACAAAAGUUGAAGAUACUUGGAAUAUUUAGAUACCAAAAAUGAGGAUAACUAGAAUUCUCUAAAUACUUAAUUAUUGCUGAUACUUGGAUUAUUCGAGUAUAAAUAUUGAAGAUACUAGGAUAUUUUAAGUACUUAGUUAUUGUAGAUUCUUAGAUAUUGUUGAUAUUUCGAUUAUUUACACACGAUUAUUGAAGAUACUAGGAUAUUUGAAAUACAUAAUUUAUGUAGACACUUGUAUAUUGUUGAUACCUGGAUUAUUUGGAUACAAAUAUUGAAGAUACUAGGAUAUUUUAAACACUCAAUGAUUUUAGAUACUUGGAUAUUGGAGACUGGACGAAUGGGCCCCAUGAUGACCUUCUGACCACUAUUAGGAAUCGUAAAUUCAAUCCGUAUGGUCCUACAUCGCUACCCUCAGGGCUCUGAAAGACCAAUCAGCAGGGAGCAGUACCAGGGGUAAGUAGGACAGACAAACAUAUACACAAAAAAUAACAAUUCAAAACCCGAAUUAAAAAAAAAAUUGAAAGACUAAUUGAUACAUUUGAGGGCAACUUUAAAAAAAAAAAUAUUGUUUUCAUUUCUUCUGAAAAUAAUUAAUUUGAGCUCAUCCCUCUUUCCCACUUCGUACAGAAGUGACCGUUCUAAGAGAUCAAAACAGAAGUGACCAUUUUAAGAGAAGUGACCUUUCUAAGAGAUCAAAACAAAACGAUUUUCUAAACAUUUCUGUCAAAUAGUUGUGAAAAGAACGUUUGAAACAUCAGGAACACAAAUAUGUCAAACUAGUUUUUUUUUUUUAUUAAAGACAAAAAGCUUCAGUUUUGUAAUCUUAAUGUAAUUUGAGCGCUACACACCGAAUCGCUCCUGUAUUGCCGUUCAGUCUAUGCAGCGAUUGAAAUACAACUACAUUAGAGACAAAGAUUAUAUAACGAAGAGUUUUAUCUAUGGCGACUAACUAUAAAUAGCUGGAUUUUUAGGGUGUAUCCGGUGUAUAGGAUAUAAGACGUGUGGAUCAUCUAAAAAAAUGUUUAAACGCUUACGAUAGUUUUUCUUAUCACAGUUAAUUUGUUACAUUAAUUUUAAUUGUAUUCUACAACAGUGAUAACAGUUUUUCUUUAUCUAAUUUUCUUCUGUUACUAUAGUAAUAAACAGCGUUGCCUAAACCAACCCUAAGACUUCGAAAUGCAAACAAAGAGGAGAUUUCUGUGUUUAAAAUGUAUCGUGAAAGGCUCCAAUUUAUCCAAUUUAUCCAAUAUUUUAACUUUGUGAAUAGAAAUUGAAUUAGUAAAAAUUAUCUUUGAAUAAAAAAAA